rnacentral:rRNA from 1 species
CCUUACCAAGGCUUGACAUACACCGGAAAGCAUCAGAGAUGGUGCCCCCCUUGUGGUCGGUGUACAGGUGGUGCAUGGUUGUCGUCAGCUCGUGUCGUGAGAUGUUGGGUUAAGUCCCGCAACGAGCGCAACCCUUAUCCUUUGUUGCCAGCGGUUCGGCCGGGAACUCAAAGGAGACUGCCAGUGAUAAACUGGAGGAAGGUGGGGAUGACGUCAAGUCAUCAUGGCCCUUACGAGUAGGGCUACACACGUGCUACAAUGGCGCAUACAAAGAGAAGCGACCUCGCGAGAGCAAGCGGACCUCAUAAAGUGCGUCGUAGUCCGGAUCGGAGUCUGCAACUCGACUCCGUGAAGUCGGAAUCGCUAGUAAUCGUAGAUCAGAAUGCUAC